UGUAUUAUAUGUAUAUGAUUGGCAUAGGGUCAUGAGAUUUGUUUCUUUGAAUACUUUUUCUGUUGGUGUCAAAUAGUUGUAAUGAAAGAGUAAUUUUACGAUUUUAUUUUGUAUUAUUUGUAAGGGUUUUGUGUGGGUCUUUGCGGCCGUUCCCCAUAUUUCUAUUAAGUAAUCAAGGUGUGGUUUUACCAUAGAAUUGUAUAUUAGAUAUCUCACGGAUUUUGGAAAACAUCGAACAAUUCCUCGUAAUCUACCCAUAAGAGAUGUCAAUUUUGAGCUCAAUUUAUCUAAGUGGGUUUCCCAGAAAAUUUUCUAUCAAACAAAAAGGAUGAGGCUUUGUUGUAAUAUGAGCAUCAAGGUAUACUUCCUCCUUAGCCAUUUCGACCAUUUCUCUGAAAAUCUAUGUGAUCACAGUGAAGAACAAGGCGAACAGUUCGAUCAAGAUAUUCGGACUAUGGAAAAGCGGUCCCAGGAUCAUUGGAAUGCCAACAUGAUGGCGAACUGCUGUUGCAGCAUUAAAGACAACCCUAGUGAACCGAAUCAAGCUAGAAAAUCUUAUAAAAGAAUGUUUUUUGAUGCUUAAUUGUUGUUCUUCUGCUGUUUUUUGUUAAUAAAAUUGUGUUUUUCUUGAAAA